AGGAUGAGACUGCGUCCGAUUAGGUAGUUGGUGGGGUAACGGCCCACCAAGCCUGUCAUCGGUACGGGUUGUGGGAGCAAGAUCCCGGAGAUGGAUUCUGAGACAUGAAUCCAGGCCCUACGGGGCGCAGCAGGCGCGCAAACUUUACAAUGCGAGCAAUCGUGAUAAGGAAACCCUGAGUGCCUGUUGAUGCAGGCUGUUCAUUAGUUUAAAUUGCUGGUGAAGAAAGGGCAGGGCAAGACCGGUGCCAGCCGCCGCGGUAAUACCGGCUGCUCGAGUGAUGGCCACUAUUACUGGGUUUAAAGCGUCCGUAGCUUGAUUGUUAGGUCUCUUGGGAAAUCUUCAGGCUUAACCUUAAGGCGUCUAAGAGAUACCGGCAAUCUUGGGACUGGGAGAGGUAAACCGUACUUCGGGGGUAGGAGUGAAAUCUUGUAAUCCUCGAGGGACGACCUAUGGCGAAGGCAGUUUACCAGAACAGCUUCGACAGUGAGGGACGAAAGCUGGGGGAGCAAACGGGAUUAGAUACCCCGGUAGUCCCAGCCGUAAACAAUGUGCGUUAGGUGUAUCGGCAACCACGCGUUACUGAUGCGCCGCAGAGAAAUCGUGAAACGCACCACCUGGGAAGUAUGGUCGCAAGGCUGAAACUUAAAGGAAUUGGCGGGGGAGCACCACAACAGGUGGAGCCUGUGGUUUAAUUGGAUUC
rnacentral:rRNA from 1 species